rnacentral:rRNA from 1 species
UACGAAGGGGCUAGCGUUGCUCGGAAUCACUGGGCGUAAAGGGUGCGUAGGCGGGUCUUUAAGUCAGGGUGAAAUCCUGGAGCUCAACUCCAGAACUGCCUUUGAUACUGAAGAUCUUGAGUUCGGGAGAGGUGAGUGGAACUGCGAGUGUAGAGGUGAAAUUCGUAGAUAUUCGCAAGAACACCAGUGGCGAAGGCGGCUCACUGGCCCGAUACUGACGCUGAGGCACGAAGGCGUGGGGAGCAAACAGG